GUAGUCAUGAAGUAGUAACUAGCGGUGUACAUAAGGCAUUUAGGUAGUAGGACGUACAUAUCACCGGGGUGGAACGUCACACCAAUCGGCUUUGUUGUUUCGAAAGAUAGAUCGCCAUGUGCUCUGAUCCCUCUUUAAUUUAGGGGCAAACGAGCAGACGAAUCACCUGGUAGACGAUCAGCGCCGCCCAUGGACACCCACAUCACCAGCGGAGUUGCCUACAUUGCUCAUGAUGAAGAUCGUCAAUUUAUAAUGAUGGACGUGAUUUUCAAGCUGAGAUUCUGAGGAAAAGAUGUGAGCGUGGUAUUUGGCGUUGGCUGACGUCGGAAGCAUCGUAUGUGGUGUGGUUUCUCAGCUACUUGUCUCCUCCUGAUAGCAUUGCUAAAGUCUGACUGUUGCCAAGUCUGACUUAGACCUUUCUCAGGCGUUUAUUGAUA